GGUUCGACUCGAGCGCAGCGAGAGAACGUUGCGUCAGCAACGGCCCGCAGGGCGAGCCACGCAGUGGCGAGUCAUCCUCUAUCACCGACCA
rnacentral:sRNA from 5 species